CACGAGGGUCUCGCUGUCUUAAGGAAGUUUCCAGUGAAAUUGAACUUGUAGUGAAGAUGCUACAUCUAAAUUGUUAGACAAGAAGUCCCCAUGGAACUUUACUGGAGACUUAUGUGGCUGACUUAAAUAGUUUUAAAAUGUGGUGUGAAUCAACUAGGGUUAGAAAAGCUCACUUUUUAUUUUAAGAAAGGCAACUUAAAAAUAUAUGUUUUGGGGAUUUGAUAAGUGAGACAGUUUGGUUGGGGCGACCGCCUUUAAAAAAGUAACGAAGGCGGACUUAAGAUGUAUGUUUAGUUAUGUCUGACUGCUAAGGGGAGACCCGGAGCAGACACUUGUCUCUGGAUGGUGGGUUUAAGUGACCCGUUAGCUCAGGGUGAAAUGGCUAACGAUAAACA
rnacentral:rRNA from 1 species